AUGGCAGCAAAGGCCAAAGUCUUAUUUGAGUUAUUACCAUUAUUAUUCACCACACUUGCCAUCUUAUUUCAAGCCUACAGUGGCAGAAGUGGAGUAAGACAUCAUGUUGCCUCAAGUUUAAUUGGAAAUCGCGUGCCUUGUGAAGAAUGGACACUCAGUAGAUGCUUAUUGAUGAACCUGUUGGUUGAGGAUAACUCGCUAACUUUUCUGAGCUUUGUUGGAAAAACUCAGGUUGCUGUAUCUCUAUGCAUUACAGAAAAUGGCUAGUUAAAAACUUGUCAAGGUAAGUGAAAUAGCUGUAUGUAUAAGUUGCUUGUAGGGAUCUCUCUAAUAAGUUACCAUACUUACAUAAGAAAUGAAAUUGUUUAUCAGGCAAAUACUUCUUGGCAUUAACUUUGUGGUGUUUAAAGAAUAUGAAAUUCUGUGAUGCAGCUUAUUCAAACUGUCUGAAUACUUUAACACUGUGUUUUUAGUUUGUUUGUUUUUACAACUUAAUUCUUUCGCUGAAGUUGAGUAUUUUCUCCCUAAGUUAAAUUUGAAAUGGUAAAAGCAAUCAGAAAAAGGAAGUGCAUUCUAUGAUGAAUCAAAAAUAGAGCUUGCAUUCAAAGACACUGAAAAUAUAAUAUCAUUAAGUCCUACUUAUUUUUAUUAAUGAUAUGCUUGGGAUUUUAAAUAUUUAUAUCAUUUUAUAACCCAGAACAAUGAAAGAUCUGGUCUAAAAAUUUACAAACUACUGUUUGUAAAUGGUAAACUUUGUG
rnacentral:lncRNA from 1 species